GGGUUGUGAGGUUAAGCGACUAAGCGUACACGGUGGAUGCCCUGGCAGUCAGAGGCGAUGAAGGGCGUGCUAAUCUGCGAUAAGCGCCGGUAAGGUGAUAUGAACCGUUAUAACCGGCGAUACCCGAAUGGGGAAACCCAGUGUGAUUCGUCACACUAUCAUUAACUGAAUCCAUAGGUUAAUGAGGCGAACCGGGGGAACUGAAACAUCUAAGUACCCCGAGGAAAAGAAAUCAACCGAGAUUCCCCCAGUAGCGGCGAGCGAACGGGGAGGAGCCCAGAGCCUGAAUCAGCAUGUGUGUUAGUGGAAGCGUCUGGAAAGGCGCGCGAUACAGGGUGACAGCCCCGUACACAAAAGCGCAUGUGCUGUGAGCUCGAUGAGUAGGGCGGGACACGUGGUAUCCUGUCUGAAUAUGGGGGGACCAUCCUCCAAGGCUAAAUACUCCUGACUGACCGAUAGUGAACCAGUACCGUGAGGGAAAGGCGAAAAGAACCCCGGCGAGGGGAGUGAAAAAGAACCUGAAACCGUGUACGUACAAGCAGUGGGAGCCCCACCACUAAGCCAGUGGUGAACUCCACAUACGCAUCCUUUGCUGAGGAUACGGUUAACGGAGCGAAAGCGACGUUCAACCUCAAAAGAAGCAGAGGGGGCUUAGUGGUGGGGUGACUGCGUACCUUUUGUAUAAUGGGUCAGCGACUUAUAUUCUGUAGCAAGGUUAACCGUAUAGGGGAGCCGGAGGGAAACCGAGUCUUAAUUGGGCGUUAAGUUGCAGGGUAUAGACCCGAAACCCGGUGAUCUAGCCAUGGGCAGGUUGAAGGUUGGGUAACACUAACUGGAGGACCGAACCGACUAAUGUUGAAAAAUUAGCGGAUGACCUGUGGCUGGGGGUGAAAGGCCAAUCAAACCGGGAGAUAGCUGGUUCUCCCCGAAAGCUAUUUAGGUAGCGCCUCGUGAAUUCAUCUCCGGGGGUAGAGCACUGUUUCGGCUAGGGGGUCAUCCCGACUUACCAACCCGAUGCAAACUGCGAAUACCGGAGAAUGUUAUCACGGGAGACACACGGCGGGUGCUAACGUCCGUCGUGAAGAGGGAAACAACCCAGACCGCCAGCUAAGGUCCCAAAGUCAUGGUUAAGUGGGAAACGAUGUGGGAAGGCCCAGACAGCCAGGAUGUUGGCUUAGAAGCAGCCAUCAUUUAAAGAAAGCGUAAUAGCUCACUGGUCGAGUCGGCCUGCGCGGAAGAUGUAACGGGGCUAAACCAUGCACCGAAGCUGCGGCAGCGACACUGUGUGUUGUUGGGUAGGGGAGCGUUCUGUAAGCCUGUGAAGGUGGCCUGUGAGGGUUGCUGGAGGUAUCAGAAGUGCGAAUGCUGACAUAAGUAACGAUAAAGCGGGUGAAAAGCCCGCUCGCCGGAAGACCAAGGGUUCCUGUCCAACGUUAAUCGGGGCAGGGUGAGUCGACCCCUAAGGCGAGGCCGAAAGGCGUAGUCGAUGGGAAACGGGUUAAUAUUCCCGUACUUGGUGUUACUGCGAAGGGGGGACGGAGAAGGCUAUGUUGGCCGGGCGACGGUUGUCCCGGUUUAAGCGUGUAGGUGUGUUUUCCAGGCAAAUCCGGAUCACUUUAAGGCUGAGGCGUGACGACGAGGCACUACGGUGCUGAAGCAACAAAUGCCCUGCUUCCAGGAAAAGCCUCUAAGCAUCAGGUAACAUCAAAUCGUACCCCAAACCGACACAGGUGGUCAGGUAGAGAAUACCAAGGCGCUUGAGAGAACUCGGGUGAAGGAACUAGGCAAAAUGGUGCCGUAACUUCGGGAGAAGGCACGCUGACACGUAGGUGAAGUGAUUUACUCAUGGAGCUGAAGUCAGUCGAAGAUACCAGCUGGCUGCAACUGUUUAUUAAAAACACAGCACUGUGCAAACACGAAAGUGGACGUAUACGGUGUGACGCCUGCCCGGUGCCGGAAGGUUAAUUGAUGGGGUCAGCGCAAGCGAAGCUCCUGAUCGAAGCCCCGGUAAACGGCGGCCGUAACUAUAACGGUCCUAAGGUAGCGAAAUUCCUUGUCGGGUAAGUUCCGACCUGCACGAAUGGCGUAAUGAUGGCCAGGCUGUCUCCACCCGAGACUCAGUGAAAUUGAACUCGCUGUGAAGAUGCAGUGUACCCGCGGCAAGACGGAAAGACCCCGUGAACCUUUACUAUAGCUUGACACUGAACAUUGAGCCUUGAUGUGUAGGAUAGGUGGGAGGCUUUGAAGUGUGGACGCCAGUCUGCAUGGAGCCGACCUUGAAAUACCACCCUUUAAUGUUUGAUGUUCUAACGUGGACCCGUGAUCCGGGUUGCGGACAGUGUCUGGUGGGUAGUUUGACUGGGGCGGUCUCCUCCUAAAGAGUAACGGAGGAGCACGAAGGUUGGCUAAUCCUGGUCGGACAUCAGGAGGUUAGUGCAAUGGCAUAAGCCAGCUUGACUGCGAGCGUGACGGCGCGAGCAGGUGCGAAAGCAGGUCAUAGUGAUCCGGUGGUUCUGAAUGGAAGGGCCAUCGCUCAACGGAUAAAAGGUACUCCGGGGAUAACAGGCUGAUACCGCCCAAGAGUUCAUAUCGACGGCGGUGUUUGGCACCUCGAUGUCGGCUCAUCACAUCCUGGGGCUGAAGUAGGUCCCAAGGGUAUGGCUGUUCGCCAUUUAAAGUGGUACGCGAGCUGGGUUUAGAACGUCGUGAGACAGUUCGGUCCCUAUCUGCCGUGGGCGCUGGAGAACUGAGGGGGGCUGCUCCUAGUACGAGAGGACCGGAGUGGACGCAUCACUGGUGUUCGGGUUGUCAUGCCAAUGGCACUGCCCGGUAGCUAAAUGCGGAAGAGAUAAGUGCUGAAAGCAUCUAAGCACGAAACUUGCCCCGAGAUGAGUUCUCCCUGAGACUUUAGGUCUCCUGAAGGAACGUUGAAGACGACGACGUUGAUAGGCCGGGUGUGUAAGCGCAGCGAUGCGUUGAGCUAACCGGUACUAAUGAACCGUGAGGCUUAACCUUACAACGCCGAAG
rnacentral:rRNA from 1 species